rnacentral:rRNA from 1 species
CCUACGGGAGGCAGCAGUGGGGAAUCUUGCGCAAUGGGCGAAAGCCUGACGCAGCCAUGCCGCGUGAAUGAUGAAGGUCUUAGGAUUGUAAAAUCCUUUCACCGGGGACGAUAAUGACGGUACCCGGAGAAGAAGCCCCGGCUAACUUCGUGCCAGCAGCCGCGGUAAUACGAAGGGGGCUAGCGUUGCUCGGAAUUACUGGGCGUAAAGGGAGCGUAGGCGGACUGUUUAGUCAGAGGUGAAAGCCCAGGGCUCAACCUUGGAAUUGCCUUUGAUACUGGCAGUCUUGAGUACGGAAGAGGUAUGUGGAACUCCGAGUGUAGAGGUGAAAUUCGUAGAUAUUCGGAAGAACACCAGUGGCGAAGGCGACAUACUGGUCCGUUACUGACGCUGAGGCUCGAAAGCGUGGGGAGCAAACAGGAUUAGAUACCCUGGUAGUCCACGCCGUAAACGAUGAGUGCUAGUUGUCGGCAUGCAUGCAUGUCGGUGACGCAGCUAACGCAUUAAGCACUCCGCCUGGGGAGUACGGUCGCAAGAUUAAAACUCAAAGGAAUUGACGG